UACGGAGGGUGCAAGCGUUGUUCGGAUUUACUGGGCGUAAAGCGCGCGCAGGUGGGUGUGCAAGUCGGAAGUGAAAUCUUGAGGCUCAACCUCGAGGCUGCUCCCGAAACUGCACGCCUAGGGACUGGUAGAGGCUGGUAGAAUUCCUGGUGUAGCGGUGGAAUGCGCAGAUAUAAGGAGGAACACCGAUGGCGAAGGCAGGUCACUGGGCCGCAACUGACGCUGAGGAGCGAAAGCAUGGGGAGCGAACAGG
rnacentral:rRNA from 1 species